UGCUCCACAGAACUUGCCAGAGAUGGCUUGGUGCCUUCGGGAACUGUGAGACAGGUGCUGCAUGGCUGUCGUCAGCUCGUGUUGUGAAAUGUUGGGUUAAGUCCCGCAACGAGCGCAACCCUUAUCCUUUGUUGCCAGCGGUCCGGCCGGGAACUCAAAGGAGACUGCCAGUGAUAAACUGGAGGAAGGUGGGGAUGACGUCAAGUCAUCAUGGCCCUUACGACCAGGGCUACACACGUGCUACAAUGGCGCAUACAAAGAGAAGCGACCUCGCGAGAGCAAGCGGACCUCAUAAAGUGCGUCGUAGUCCGGAUUGGAGUCUGCAACUCGACUCCAUGAAGUCGGAAUCGCUAGUAAUCGUGAAUCAGAAUGUCACGGUGAAUACGUUCCCGGGUCUUGGUAC
rnacentral:rRNA from 1 species